CUGGCCGGGCUGGGAGGCGGCCUGGGAAGGGCCCAGUGUUUCUCAGGCCCGCGCCCUUGGGGCCUGGGUGGGGGGUGGGGAGGGGGGGGCCGAGCAGAUGUCUGGAUCUGGUAGCCAGGCCUGGAGCCGGAUGCUGGGAACCGGGCCUGCAACUCAUUUCCCCACUAAACACUCUGAGAACAUCUGCACGGUUUCCAAGGCGUCUCCCGCACUAAUUGCCUGAUCACUGCGCGAAGCUCCCCUGGCAGGCUCCCCGGUGCUGGGACGAAGGUGAAAAGAUCGCUCUUAAUUAGAUUAAGAGCAUUUCUUUCUCCCUCUGUAAUUUCGCCUUGAAAAUCAAGGCCACUUUUUUGUUUCCUUCGUCCAAAGGCGCAGCAACGCCCUCCCACCUCUCCAGGGGCUUCUUGGGAAUGUCCUGUGAGCUCAGCGCUUGAAGCU
rfam:Myotis davidii contig135839, whole genome shotgun sequence.